AGGAGGAAACAGCUAGGUCUGUGUGAAAGACUCCAAAAAGUCUGAAACUUUGAGGAUAAACAGGCAUUUGCCAAUUGAUCAUCAAGGAGAGGGAACCAAAGACAGAAGAGCUUGCUGCUGAGCCGGGAGGCAGCAUGGCGGGGAGAGCCAAAGUCCAAAAAGUUUAGAGAGAUGGAAAUUUUUCAGUGACCCAGAUUUCAAGUGUGGAGAAAGAAAUCUGAUCCUCAAAACACUCCAUCUGAGCCAAACUGCAAACUGUUUCUGAACGAGAGAGAAAGAACAUGAGCUGGGAGUGUGGGGAGUCCAGAGGAAAAACCAGGCUUUCCACUGAGCAAGAGGCCUGUCACGGGCUCAAUUCUAGGAUGUUGGGAUCAUGACCUGAGCCGAAGGCAGACGCUUAACUGACUGAGCCACCCAGGCGCCCCGAUUGUGCCAGCCGCCGUGGUAUUGGAUUUGCUUCAUGCUAUCACCUUCAUUCUCGGGGAGGGGAGGAAGAGGACGUGCAGAGCUUUGCUAAUUUUCUGGUGCCAUCAAAAAUGGGUUUUUCGAUUCUACUAAGAGAGUUGGGGUGAGACAUGCUCUGACCUGCUGCUGCCUUUGUUUAGAGGGCCAUGAAUUGACUGAGGCUCCUGAAUGCACAAGGUGCCUUUGAAAAGAAACCCAAUUUAGCAACAUAAUUUCAAAAAUGAAAGCACAUUUCAAGGCCGGCAAUGAAGAGACAAAAUGUU